rnacentral:rRNA from 1 species
UACGUAGGGUGUGAGCGUUAAUCGGAAUUACUGGGCGUAAAGUGUGCGCAGGCGGCCGAGCAAGUCGAGUGUGAAAGCCCCGAGCUUAACUUGGGAACUGCGCUCGAAACUACUUGGCUAGAGUGUGGCAGAGGGAGGUGGAAUUCCACGUGUAGCGGUGAAAUGCGUAGAGAUGUGGAGGAACACCGAUGGCGAAGGCAGCCUCCUGGGCCAACACUGACGCUCAUGCACGAAAGCGUGGGGAGCAAACAGG